UAUUGGACAAUGGGGGGAACCCUGAUCCAGCGACGCCGCGUGAGUGAAGAAGUAUUUCGGUANGUAAAGCUCUAUCAGCAGGGAANNAANNNANGACGGUACCUGACUAAGAAGCCCCGGCUAACUACGUNNNANCNGCCGCGGUAAUACGUAGGGGGCAAGCGUUAUCCGGAUUUACUGGGUGUAAAGGGAGUGUAGACGGCAAUGCAAGUCUGGAGUGAAAGGCGGGGGCCCAACCCCCGGACUGCUCUGGAAACUGUAUAGCUGGAGUGCAGGAGAGGUAAGUGGAAUUCCUAGUGUAGCGGUGAAAUGCGUAGAUAUUAGGAGGAACACCAGUGGCGAAGGCGGCUUACUGGACUGUAACUGACGUUGAGGCUCGAAAGCGUGGGGAGCAAACAGG
rnacentral:rRNA from 1 species